rnacentral:rRNA from 1 species
UACGGGAGGCAGCAGGGGGAAUAUUGCACAAUGGGCGAAAGCCUGAUGCAGCUAUGCCGCGUGUAUGAAGAAGGCCUUAGGGUUGUAAAGUACUUUCAUCGGGGAGGAAAAAACAAAACUAAUAAUUUUAUUUCUUGACGUUACCCGAAAAAGAAGCACCGGCUAACUCCGUGCCAGCAGCCGCGGUAAUACGGAGGGUGCUAGCGUUAAUCAGAAUUACUGGGCGUAAAGAGCACGUAGGUGGUUUUUUUAAAGUCAGAUGUGAAAUCCCUGGGCUUAACCUGGAACUGCAUUUUGAAACUGAAAUACUAGAGUAUCGUAGAGGGAGGUAGAAUUCUAGGUGUAGCGGUGAAAUGCGUAGAUAUCUGGAGGAAUACCUGUGGCGAAAGCGGCCUCCUAAACGAAUACUGACACUGAGGGUGCGAAAGCGUGGGGAGCAAACGAGGGAUUAGAUACCCGU